UACAGAGGAUGCAAGCGUUGUCCGGAAUUAUUGGGCGUAAAGAGCGAGCAGGCGGUUUGGAAAGUUGGACGUGAAAUUUUAGGGCUUAACCCUAAAGGGUCGUCCAAAACUCCCAGACUAGAGUGCAGGAGAGGAAAGCGGAAUUCCCGGUGUAGUGGUGAAAUGCGUAGAUAUCGGGAGGAACACCAGAGGCGAAGGCGGCGAUCUGGGAAGAUACUGACGCUGAGGUGCGAAAGCGUGGGGAGCAAACAGG
rnacentral:rRNA from 1 species